UACGUAGGGGGCGAGCGUUAUCCGGAUUCACUGGGUGUAAAGGGAGCGUAGACGGCCAUGCAAGCCAGGGGUGAAAGCCCGGGGCCCAACCCUGGGACUGCCCUUGGAACUGCAUGGCUGGAGUGCGGGAGGGGCAGGCGGAAUUCCUGGUGUAGCGGUGAAAUGCGUAGAUAUCAGGAGGAACACCGGCGGCGAAGGCGGCCUGCUGGACCGCGACUGACGUUGAGGCUCGAAAGCGUGGGGAGCGAACAGG
rnacentral:rRNA from 1 species